rnacentral:rRNA from 1 species
UACAGAGGUCCCAAGCGUUGUUCGGAUUCAUUGGGCGUAAAGGGUGUGUAGGUGGCGCCGUAAGUCGGGUGUGAAAUUUCUGAGCUUAACUCCGAAACUGCAUUCGAUACUGCGGUGCUUGAGGACUGGAGAGGAGACUGGAAUUCCUGGUGUAGCGGUGAAAUGCGCAGAUAUCAGGAGGAACACCAAUUGCGAAGGCAGCUCGCUGGGACGUUACUGACGCUGAGACGCGAAAGCGUGGGGAGCAAACAGG